rnacentral:lncRNA from 1 species
GCCCAAUCAGCAUCACAAUACCCAACCACUUCUGUACUGCCAUUACAACCCAUCCAAACUCCUUGACCAGGCGUGCCACUCAAAUACCUCAGUAUCCUAUCGACCAUCUUCCAGUGAUGUACCUUUGGUGCCUGCAUAUGCUGACUUACUUGAUUCACAGCAAAACAUAUAUCAGGUCUGGUGAUAGUCAAGUAGAUCAGCUUGCCAACCAUCUUCCUAUACAGCUUAGCAUCAUCAAACAACUGCUUCUCUUCAACCUCCCCCUCACGCAGAACCUUAUACCCCUCCUCAAGAGGUGUCUUAGCUAUCUUUCCUCCAAACACAUCAGUCUCCUUCAACAUAUCCAUAGUAUACUUCCUUUGAGACAUAAACAAACCCUCCUUUGAUCUGCAUAUCUCAAUGCCCAGAAAAUACUUCAUCUCUCCCAAAUCCUUGAUGUCAAACACAGAUUUGAGAAACUCCUUAGUGGCCUGAAUCCCUGCCUUAUCACUUCCUGUGAUAAUCAAAUCAUCCACAAACACUAGAAUCACAAUGAUCCCUGAAGGUCCUGUCAAGGUGAAGAGAGUGUGAUCUAGUUCAGACUUCCUAAAGCCUCUCCCAUUGAGUGUUGUACUCAACUUCCUGUACCAAGCUCUAGGUGACUGUUUCAGCCCAUAUAUUGCCUUCUUCAAUCUCAAAACAUUCCCUGGCUUUACUAGAUGCUCAAGACCAGGAGGUGGAUGCAUGUAUACUUCAUCUUCAAGUUCACCUUGCAAGAAAGCAUUCUUCACAUCCAUUUGCCACAAAUCCCAGUCCAAGUUUGUUGCAAUGGAUAAAACAAUUCGAAUUGUGUGAAGCUUGGCCACUGGUGCAAAAGUAUCAAUGUAAUCUUCCCCAUAAGUCUGUGUAAAUCCUCUUGCAACCAGCCUAGUCUUGCGCCUAUCUAUCUCCCCAUUUGCAAGAUACUUGAUGGUGAAGAUCCAUCUACUUGAAACUGCCUUCUUUCCUUUAGGUAACUCACUCUCAUACCAAGUGUCAUUCCUGAUCAUUGCAUCCCUUUCAUCUCCUACUGAAUCUCUCCAACCCUUGUGCUUCAUAGCUUCUUCAUAAGAUCUUGGUAUCUCAUUCUCAUCCAAGUUACACAUAAACACCAUGUGCUCUUCUGGAUAUUCUGCAAAGGAACACACGGCUUGAGAAGGAUGCUCCACAGCCUGGGCAUUGUAGUACACUCUCGUGUUUACCCAGUUGGAAGCAUCCCUCUUUAUCCUUGUGCUCCUCCGCAAAGCCUGAACCUGAUCCUCAGCUUGAACCUCAGUUUCUGUCUCACUCACCUCCUCAUGAUCAUGAACCUCUCCCUGCUCAUCCACACGGACCUGAGGAACAUUCUCUACUUCUUCUGUCACCUCUUGAUCAUGAUGACCUGAAUCCCCUUGGUGCUGCUCUUGCACUCCUGAUUCAGACUCAUUCCCCCCUCAUGAUCAAGGGGAGUUGUUCUUUCAGGUUCUCUAACCUUAUCCUGGGACAUGUUUACCCCAAGCCUUUCCAAUAUGUUCCUCAGAUUCUCUGCCAUGUUUCUUGGUUCUUGAGACAGAUCUUCCAAGUCUUCCCAAUUCUUUUCUCCAUAAUACCCCUUGGUCUCUAUGAACUUAACAUCUCUAGACACCAACACUCUCCUGGUUGCUGGAUCAUAGAACUUAUACCCCUUCUGAGUUACUGAGUACCCAAUGAGCAUUGCUUUAGUGCUCUUUGCCUCCAACUUGUUUCUCUGUUCUCCUGGAACCCAGACAUAACAUAGGCAUCCAAAGACACGCAGAUGAUCUAUGUAUGGCUUGCUCUUGUUCAGCACCUCAAAUGGAGACAGAUUCUUCAAUACCUUAGUUGGAAUCCGAUUGAUAAGAUAACAUGCAGUCUGAACAGCAUCACCCCAAAACCUCUUUGGAACAUUAGCAUGAUACAUCAUGGAUCUAGCCACCUCCAUCAGAUGCCUAUUCUUCCUCUCAGCUACCCCAUUCUGUUGUGGUGUGUAAGGACAACUGGUCUGAUGCACUAUCCCAUGUUUAGCCAAGUGAUUCUUGAAGGCAUGACUGCUGUAUUCUCCUCCAUUAUCAGACCGUAGUACCUUCACAGUAGCAUUGUAAUGAUUAGUUACAUAUGCUUGGAAGUUGACAAAAGCAUCAAACACUCUAUCCUUAGAUGGCAGCAAUGUGAUCCAUGUAUACUUAGACUUCUCAUCUAUGAAUGUCACAAAAUACUUCUGGUUUUCUCUAGACAUACAAGGGGCUGUCCACACAUCAGAAUGAACAAGAUCAAAGCAAUUUGCAUAUAUGGUCUCUGAUGUAGGAAAAACAGUCCUACAAUGCGUCCCUAAGAUGCAAGCUUCACAUUCCAAGUGAUUGAAUGACAUAUUAGGCAUAAUCAAUUCAAUUGCACGAGCAUGAGGAUGUCCCAAUCUAGCAUGCCAGGUAAUACUAUCACUCCUAUCAGCAGCACUACUCAAGCAUACAGAAUCAAUAGGGUUAGAAGUCUUAGCUGUUUGGAGAUGAUAUAACUGAUUCUUGCUCUCCCCUCUACCAAUAACUCUCCCAGUCUUCAAAUCUUGAAACUCAACUUCAUUUGGCCUGAAUACUACUUGACAAUCAAGAUCAACUGUGGUCUUCUUCACUGAUAUCAAAUUUGAAGUAAACUGAGGCAGAUAGAAAGCAGGUGAGUUCUUCUCAAACAGCUUAAGGUUUCCCACUCCUUCUAUUGGGAUCCUAGCACCAUUAGCUAUCAUGACACUCCCUGUUGCAGCCUUGACUUCACUUAUCAGACUUCUAUCACUGAUCAUGUGAUGUGUUGCUCCAGAGUCAAUGAUGAUAGGUUUGGAUGUGGAUGCUAAGGCAGGAGCACCUUGUCUCCGGGUCGUAGCCAAAGCAUACACAUACUUGACAAACCCAUCCCAUUCUUUCUUUGUGAUAGGAUCAUCUGCUCCUUUGGUCUCUUGUCCCUUCAUACCCACACUUUCUUCUACUGAGCUGCCCAUAUAGGCUGAGUAGGAACACUCUCCUCUAACCACAUGCUGCGCAAACUCUUCAAUCAGUCUUGUCUCCAUAUCAUUCUCAAAGUAUCCAGACUGUCUACUCUCCCUCCGAGUCCUUCUCACCAUGACCCAAGUCCUGGACAGUCUCCUCAAUCUUCCCUUCUUACACCUUGUACCAUCUCUGAUCCUGAUCAGUCUCUUGUUCUUCUCAUAUACUUUAUAUGAAGACUGAACAAGCUCACACAACCCAUCCACAUCUACUCGCUCACCAUCUUUGAGUACUUGCAUAAUCAGCUGACCAUAUGAUGAGUUUAAGCUCACUAGAAGGCUCAAGACUACAUCUUGCUCCAGCCUCUCUUGAAUAACCUCCGGAUCUGAUGUGCUUGAUCUCAACACAUCCAAUUCUCUCCACAAGUAUUUCAGCUUGCCCACAAGCUGAUGGAGCUCUUCCUUUACUCUUCCUAGGUCUGUGUUAGCUCUCUUGACUCCACAGACCUUCUUCAGAUCGGAUCUACUCCCAUGAGCUGCUUCAAUCCCACAUCUUGUAUGGUUUUCUUGAACAACUCUGUCUUCAUACCUCAGACUCCACGCCUGACCUGCUUCAAUAGCCAUUUCUCUUAAAGGCUUCCCCUUUUUAUGACUACUCCACAACACACAGCUCCUCAACACUGCCUUCGCCCAUCUUGACCAACUUCCACCAGUUUCCUCUUCAAGCUUCGAUGGAAUACUAGAUCUGUGCUUCCUCUCCAUGUCUAGAUUGUUUGUUUCCAUCAGAAAGAUCCAAACGAGCCUAGUGACUGAAGAACACAACCCAGAAUCACCAAGAACACUCAAGAACACCAAGAACACUCCAAGAACACUCAAGAGAGAACUCAGAUUUGCGAAAAAGAAAUCACACACUCACCCCCUUUUUAAGCAACCUGGCUCUGAUACCAAGUAACUCUGAUGUACUGAGGAGAAGUUACACUCGGCCAAGACACUUUUGCAAUGGAAGCUCUGAAGUGGUUGGAUAUAAACACUUUUGUGUUUUAGAGUGUGUUUAAUAAUAAUCAGAGAAGAUUAGAGUAAAGUUUAGAGAGAAUAGAGAGAUUCUAGAGAGAGAGAGACUCAAAACUCCAUUAAUUGAUUUAAUGUAUCAGAUACAAGAUAUAUAUGAAGAGAUAAGGCUGAUUAAGUGAAUUUCGAAAUCCAUAAGCAUGUGGAGUCAAUGGACAGGCUGGAACUCCUUUUGAAAUGCUUGGCUGUGCUUUCUCACAUGCUUGCACUAGUGUAAAAGCAUCCUCUCCUUUCCAGCAUCAUACAGGCUGUCAAAGUGCUCCCUUAUCCUUCCUUAUCCUCCCUUAUCCUCUUUGGUCGAGUUUCCUCUCUUCUCUUCACUAAGUUACCUUCUCAUCCCAUCAGAUAACUUCCCCAAGUAGUUACUGUGGUUAAAAUAAAGUUAUCACAGUAAAACUCUAAAGUUAACACUUCCUGAUCACCAACUUAACACUCCCCCUCAAGCUUGACCAUGUGGAACAAGUCAAGCUUGGAUUGCCAUGAGAUCUUCCCUCAUUAAAAACCUCAUCAAAGAAAACCCAAUGGGAUAAAAUUUUGAUGAGGGAAAAAGAGUGGAGAUCUCAUGACGAGGGGAUCAGCUCCUGGGAGUAAGAUCAAUGAGUCCAAGCCUGGAUAGUAUGGACUCCAUUGUCUUUAAUCUUGCUGCCUUAGUAAACACAUCUGCAAGUUGAUCUUCACUUCUUGUAUAACAUGGCAAUAUCACUCCAAGUAUAAUCAUCUGCCUCACCUUGUGGCAAUUAACUUCUAUGUGCUUUGUCCUCUCAUGAAAGACUGAGUUAGAAGCAAUGUGGAUAGCUGCUUGAUUGUCACAAUGCAUUGUCAUAGGAGUACUCUGCUCAAUCUCCAAAUGCUUCAAGAUCCCCUUGAUCCACACCAACUCGUUUGUCAGCUUCAACAUGGCUCUAUACUCAGCUUCAGCACUUGAACAAGAGAUAACCUUCUGCUUCUUACUCUUCCAAGUGACCAAGUUCCCUCCAAUGAAUGUACAAUACCCAGUAGUUGAUCUCCUGUCCACUCUAUCUCCUGCCCAAUCAGCAUCACAAUACCCAACCACUUCUGUACUGCCAUUACAACCCAUCCAAACUCCUUGACCAGGCGUGCCACUCAAAUACCUCAGUAUCCUAUCGACCAUCUUCCAGUGAUGUACCUUUGGUGCCUGCAUAUGCUGACUUACUUGAUUCACAGCAAAACAUAUAUCAGGUCUGGUGAUAGUCAAGUAGAUCAGCUUGCCAACCAUCUUCCUAUACAGCUUAGCAUCAUCAAACAACUGCUUCUCUUCAACCUCCCCCUCACGCAGAACCUUAUACCCCUCCUCAAGAGGUGUCUUAGCUAUCUUUCCUCCAAGCACAUCAGUCUCCUUCAACAUAU